AGGGAACGGAUGUUUGGAUAGCUCUUCCCAAUUCACCCAGAUGGCGACAACCAUGUCGUGUUGUUUGAGGUCAAGGCGUUUGUGUUCACCAAGGCUACUAAUCUGAAAACAAUUUUCACCACGAAAGUCUGUGUUACAAGUGAUAGCACCUGUGAUAACAUUGACUGUUCUGGUCAGCAAUCAAGUGGGAGAAGAAAGCGAUCGACCGGUGACGUCACCAACAACACUUACGUCAUUGACGAAACAAUCACAGUUGUCUUCCCUGGAAGAAAGGGCGUGUCGUUGGCAAAGACUGGAGAACGCCGCCAAGAAGAGGGAUGUGAGACCAGUUCAGCCAUGAUAGGCACCGUGGCAGCUCUAGCAGGAGUUAUCUUCCUUUUGGUCGUUCUUCUGCUCGCCCUCGUGGCGCGGUCAUUCAGGAGAAAUAACCGCAACUCACGAGCUGACAAGAGGGAAGGAGUUAUCUCUCCUUACUUCACUAAAGACACACAGUGAACUGUCAAAUAAAAAACAGCACAAACGUUGGCAUAUGUGAUCGUUUAAAUGUUCUAUAUGUGUAUAAUACUUAGCACACACAUGCAGAUUAAAGGUACAUACACUAGAUUUUAAACGUUAAGGUAUAUGUUUUGCCAUUAGAGCCGGGUUUUUUUGUAACUGAAAUCGUAUUUUUCUUAGAUUUUAUUGUUUAGAUUAUCCAUUUCCGUACAUUCGAAGUAUUUUUGGUCAACAUGAUGUUUUUAAUAUAAGAAAAUGCAUUUCUCAUAUUUUAAAAACGCACGUGCAGUUAUGCAGUGGAGUUUUAGUCUAUGUUUAGAGGUUAUUUCACCAUUUCAAAGUUUCAUUCAAUUGUAACUUUAUCCAAAUGUGUUACAGGUUUGUAGAUUAAUUAACUUAGUGUUAAUUUUCACUGGUUGAUUUUCAUCUCGUUAAUCGUUAGAAAAUGCGCACAGCACAAAACCGACGGUCAUGUCGGCGUGUAGUGUGUUGUACAGUGUGAUAAAUAUAUAAUAACAGGGAUGAAUAUGUCGGCGUUUAGCUCGAGUGUUUUCUUAUACAAUGUGAUAAUUAAAUAAUAUUUAAGUGAUUUUAACUGGGGUAUAGGGUGACCAUGUCGGCGUUUUGCCUCGAGU